rnacentral:rRNA from 1 species
AACGAACGCUGGCGGCAGGCUUAACACAUGCAAGUCGAACGGGUGUAGCAAUACAUCAGUGGCAGACGGGUGAGUAACACGUGGGAACCUUCCUAGGGGUACGGAACAACUCAGGGAAACUUGAGCUAAUACCGUAUACGUCCGUGAGGAGAAAGAUUUAUCGCCCUUAGACGGGCCCGCGUCGGAUUAGGUAGUUGGUGGGGUAACGGCCUACCAAGCCUACGAUCCGUAGCUGAUCUUAGAGGAGGAUCAGCCACACUGGGACUGAGACACGGCCCAGUCUCCUACGGGAGGCAGCAGUGGGGAAUCUUGGACAAUGGGCGCAAGCCUGAUCCAGCCAUGCCGCGUGAGUGAAGAAGGCCUUAGGGUUGUAAAGCUCUUUUACCAGGGACGAUAAUGACGGUACCUGGAGAAUAAGCCCCGGCAAACUUCGUGCCAGCCGCCGCAGUAACAC